rnacentral:lncRNA from 1 species
UGUGAUUUACUGGCUUCACACGACACCUGGGUCAAUUCGACCAUGUCAGAACGCCACAUCACCUGGGGACACCCCACUGACUCGUAUGGUGUAUGGGUCAGUGGAGGACUUAACUGACCUCCCCAGAGAACGACCCCUCGCCCCGCCCAGGAUCUGAGAUAGUCAGGUAGGGCUUCCAACAGACCCCCAGGAGCUACGUAUCGCACACAGGUGUCCGCCCCAGCCAUAGCUUUGUCAACGCAGCGUUCCGCCACGACUCCGAGAAACGACAAAGUUUGAAAGCGGCCUGUCGCAGAAGCGACAACGUCUUCUACGACCAAGACAUCAUCAUAUCAAUGGAUCGUCCUCGGGCGGAGGACUUCAUAGUGCAAGUGUACUGCGCACGCGCAACCUUACGCCUUCAAAAUGGUGCAACAAAGUUUGUGAUUUCGAACAAAACAGUUCUAAAACGUGUGUGUGUCUGGUGAUGUAUAUAUUCUCUUCUUUGCGUAUUUUGGAUUACGCGAUGUAUUUGAAUUCGAGAUGAUGGAUCCAUCUGAUUGCUAGUGUGCACCAUAUUUGAGUGAUAUUGACAGCGCAUGCGUGUUUCAUCCGAAUACACGGCGUUAAUUCUUGAUAGGAUGUUAUUGUCUGUGCAGACGAAACCGUUUUGGCUGCCAGGAUUACA